rnacentral:rRNA from 1 species
GACGAACGCUGGCGGCGUGCUUAACACAUGCAAGUCGAACGGAAAGGCCCUGCUUGCUGGGUGCUCUAGUGGCGAACGGGUGAGUAACACGUGUGUGAUCUGCCCCUUACUUUGGGAUAAGCCUGGGAAACUGGGUCUAAUACUGGAUAGGACCAUGCUGUAGGUGGUGUGGGGGAAAGAUUUUUUUCGGUGUUGGAUGGGCUCGCGGCCUAUCAGCUUGUUGGUGUGGUAGUGGCCUACCAAGGCGUCGACGGGUAGCCGGCCUGGGAGGGUGGGCGACCAUGCGGCGGCGGAGAGGCGGCGCAGACUACGACGGGAAGCAGUGGGGGGGAAUAUUGAACAAGGGGAGGAAGGAUGAAGCGACGACGCGUCGGGGGGGAUGACGUCCGGCUGGUAGAAACCCUCUUGCGAUGACGAAGAAGCGGUAGUGACGGUAGUGGUAGAAGAAGCACCGGCUAACUACGUG